AAAAGUUGGUAGGCGGAACCUAACGCCUGAUUGGUUACCCUCUGCAUCAAGCCAAGACAAAUCAAUUCCGGAUAAUGGAUUGAUGCAGAGCUACUGAACACAUUCCAAUACACUGGGUGGCGCUAUUCACCUCUACGUUGGUUUAGUUACACGGUUAAACAGAACUUUCAUUGCAACGGCUAAAAAUCAAGAGAAGACUCGGUCCUGCUAGCCCCAAUGUUGAGACGCUGUGUGAGGUGCAGGACAAAAUGUCUAAAAGUUGCCCGGAGCUGCUGAGAGAAGCAGCGAAUUUGAUUGAGGAAGCUCUGAGCAGAAGUCCAACGGCUCCCGCGGCACCGGUGACUCCGGCAGCUCAGUCACAGCAGAUACCGGCCGCUCAAUCACGUACACCUGUCCAAGCGGAGGUAGCAAGGCUCUUUGCGCCAUAUAACAUUGGAGCCAGAAGGAAUAUGACGAGACGACCAGCACAAGUCCAAGUUAGCCGAAGAAGCUACACACACACUGUCUGUUGUUUGGCUGACCACAAUGCGGAUAAAAUUCCAAGCGUACUGUUUAAAGCUGAACUUCUUACUUCAGGACUUGGAGAGCAAAAAGUAACAUUUUCAGGGAAUGACCACGAUCCCAUGGUUAUGUUUUGUGUCAGGAGGAAUGGGCCGAACACUGCUAUUUGAGGGUGAACCUGACCAUCUUGUUCCAGCAGCAUCAGAGGCACUUAUUGAAAGCAACCUCUUCCGGGUUGCAGGAAGGAUGUUGGGCCACACCUUUCUGCAUGAUGGUCCCCAUGUCACAGGACUAAGUCCUGCUGUAAUUCAUGUACUGUUCAAUGGGGACCCUGAAAUGGCUACUGUUGUUACAGAAGACUGUCCUGAUCUGCACAUCAGGAGCAUCAUAGAACUGCUUGAACAUGAAGAUCUUACACCGGAACAGAAGGACACAGUUUCAGAUCUUUCCAUGUCUUGGGAUCUUCCGGCAGUCACCAAAACAAAUCGGAGAUGGCUACAUAACAAACUUCUACUCCAUGCAGUGAGUUCCUGCUGGUUAAGUGACAGAAUUCAUCGCUGUACUUGUUGAAAUUAUAGAAUGUGUUGUGAACCCUGGCUUGUUAUGUUAACACGAGAGUUUAAGUACUAGAGUUUUAAUGGAUUUUUAUAAAGCACUUUAUUGUGUUUAUUAACAUUUUUCCUACUGUGCCAACUUUUGUCAAAUUUGGGUUAAGGAUUUGGAUCAAAAAUGUGAUAUUUGAUUUUCUCCAUAUUGCCCAGCCCUAAUGUCAAUGCAUACACAGUUCAGAUGAAUUGA